UGAUGGUAUAUAUAUUUAAUGUCUUUCAC
rnacentral:sRNA from 1 species